AUAAUCGGAGUGCAUAUCCGAUCAGGGCUUUGAUUCAGGUCUUUAAAAGGCUUAUGGAUAGAUCGAGAGGUAUUGUGGCAUGGUGGAUCAGCAUAGGACCCUGAGCAGAAGUAGCAACCGAGAGCAGAGGUAGUAGGCAAACCCUUGAGAGGCACUGACAGAGAGCAAAAGUAGGGGUUUCAGUAGAUUAUCAAGCAGUAGAUAGCAAUCACUUCAGGGGUUUAGGGGUCUUCGUAAAGAGAGAGCUUUUGUGAGGGAGAGCUUCUUAUGAGGGAGAGAUUGGGUGUAUGAGGGUUGAGGGU
rnacentral:lncRNA from 1 species